rnacentral:rRNA from 1 species
GCCUCCUAAAAGGUAACGGAGGCGCUCAAAGGUUCCCUCAGAAUGGUUGGAAAUCAUUCAUAGAGUGUAAAGGCAUAAGGGAGCUUGACUGCGAGACCUACAAGUCGAGCAGGGUCGAAAGACGGACUUAGUGAUCCGGUGGUUCCGCAUGGAAGGGCCAUCGCUCAACGGAUAAAAGCUACCCCGGGGAUAACAGGCUUAUCUCCCCCAAGAGUUCACAUCGACGGGGAGGUUUGGCACCUCGAUGUCGGCUCAUCGCAUCCUGGGGCUGUAGUCGGUCCCAAGGGUUGGGCUGUUCGCCCAUUAAAGCGGUACGCGAGCUGGGUUCAGAACGUCGUGAGACAGUUCGGUCCCUAUCCGUCGUGGGCGUAGGAAAUUUGAGAGGAGCUGUCCUUAGUACGAGAGGACCGGGAUGGACAUACCUCUGGUGUACCAGUUGUCGUGCCAACGGCAUAGCUGGGUAGCUAUGUGUGGACGGGAUAAGUGCUGAAAGCAUCUAAGCAUGAAGCCCCCCUCAAGAUGAGAUUUCCCAACUUCGGUUAUAAGAUCCCUCAAAGAUGAUGAGGUUAAUAGGUUCGAG